UGUAGUGAUAGCUCAGUGGUAGCGACAUUGGACUACUGAUUGGAACGUCGUGAGUUCAAAUCUCAGCACUGCCA